UGAAGACUAACUACUGCGAAAGCAUUUUGCCAAGGAUGUUUUUCAUUAAUCAGUGAACGAAAGUUAGGGGAUCGAAGACGAUCAGAUACCGUCGUAGUCUUAACCGUAAACUAUGCCGACUAGGGAUCGGGCGAUGUUCUUUUUCUGACUCGCUCGGCACCUUACGAGAAAUCAAAGUUUUUGGGUUCUGGGGGGAGUAUGGUCGCAAGGCUGAAACUUAAAGAAA
rnacentral:rRNA from 1 species